rnacentral:lncRNA from 1 species
UACUUUCAGAUCGCAUGAACGCAUUCCUGGACACCAGCCACAGUUGCUAAAACUAAAUGGGAUCCUGCAGACCCAUUGACGGACUGUCAUAGCCAACUCAAUCACAGUCGAGAAGCAUUUGAAUACUUACAGCCUAUGGCGCUAGGAUCCUGGUAGCGAAGAAACUAAACUCUAAUUUGAAAUGUUGUACAGUACGUAUUGAAUAUUAAUGGGAGCACGGCAUUGUUCACUGUGUGAUCGUUUACUUUUAAAAUGAUGUCACAGCCCCCUGGUACACACGGUUCUCAUCUAAAUUUGCAUCUUUUUUAACGCUAGGAUAACUAUGAAAGAGCAUACGAUUGUGAUUCUGAGUUUCUUACUGGAUUUGCUUUUUAAACUGCAGAAUGAAAUUAGUUGUUUCAAGAAGUAAAGUACAGGCAUGUCGAAGUAAAAUUCAACAAUGGGUUGUUGGGCAAAAAGAUUAUAAAAGUCCUGGGGUGUGCCAGGGUCAAAAAAAAAAAAAAAAGCUUGUCCCUGGGGUUAUCUUGGCAAAAAAGAAACCACCACCACAGGUUCUAAAUGCAGAUAAGACUGGCAGAAAAAUGCAGACCAAACUAUUCUGCAUUUUGAAAGUGAAUGUGCCUGUGUGACAUUGGAGGAAUGUAAAGAACUGUAUGUCAAGUGUGGACUUUAUCUCCUCAGGCUAGCUUAGAGUGGCUGCUGAACUUAAGGGUGAUUAAGAGCUGCUUGCACCUGGGUGGAGCUGAAACUGCAUAAGGUGAAUAAUACCUUUGUGCAACAGAAGAAAAAAAAAAAAGUAACAGCAUACAUACAAACCCAAAGGAUAAAUUCAGGACCGGCUGCAUCUCCACUCCUGAAUUAGAGGAGACAGCACUGAUUGCAGUGACAGAAGCGGUGCCAGCUAACUCCCCACCAUCAAAAGUAUCUUCUGCUGUAGCCUGGCACAAGUUUCAAGCAUCCACUGGGGGUCUUGGGAUGUGUCGCCCUGCAGAUAAGGGCAACUGCUGUGCAGCAUGAACAGUAUGGAGACAAUACUUAUCUUCAUGGAGUUUAUAUUAGAGUAAGACAAGAGGUAGGAGACUGCCUAUUUUAUUGUUCUCUUGAAAAGACUGGGUAUUUUACUUUUAUGAAAGGCUUUAUAGCCUGCAGGGGCAUUCUAAUAUGGAUUUUGGGGGUGAAGAGACAAAUAGGUGUGGAAAGUAAGUUCAGGGGUUCAGAGACCCAUAGGUUUUUUAAAAGAGAAGUCAGGGGAAGGUCUCUUAAGGUAGUAGUGGAGUCCAAAUUAUUCUAUGUCCCUUGUAGCUCCUACCCUUUGUAUGCAGUAGUUUUUUUUUUAAAUCGAAGACGGGGGAAGGUCUCUUAAGGUAAUAGUAGAGACCAAAUUAUUCUAUC